rnacentral:misc_RNA from 1 species
AAUGAGGUGAAAAGUUAACUUAGUCUCUUUUAAAAUCCAAGCAACAUUAAUGGGAGGUUAAAAAUUAUAAGAGUAACAAUUACCCUUGUUAACCGCAUACUAAACACCUCCUAAUAAAAAAAAGGCAACCUUAGAGCAGCCAAAUAGCUUGCAUUUAACAACACCAAAUAACUCAAACAAACCAUAGUCCAUAUUCAAAUUGAUAGGGCUGAUUCAGUUUUACUACAAAAAGUAUAAAUGGCAGCAAGACGCACACCUGAAUGGUCUCUAUGGGUAUCUG